AACGAACGCUGGCGGCAGGCUUAACACAUGCAAGUCGAACGCCCCGCAAGGGGAGUGGCAGACGGGUGAGUAACGCGCGGGAAUCUACCCAUCCCUACGGAACAACUCCGGGAAACUGGAGCUAAUACCGUAUACGCCCUUAGGGGGAAAGAUUUAUCGGGGAUGGAUGAGCCCGCGUUGGAUUAGCUAGUUGGUGGGGUAAAGGCCUACCAAGGCGACGAUCCAUAGCUGGUCUGAGAGGAUGAUCAGCCACAUUGGGACUGAGACACGGCCCAAACUCCUACGGGAGGCAGCAGUGGGGAAUAUUGGACAAUGGGCGCAAGCCUGAUCCAGCCAUGCCGCGUGAGUGAUGAAGGCCUUAGGGUUGUAAAGCUCUUUCACCGAUGAAGAUAAUGACGGUAGUCGGAGAAGAAGCCCCGGCUAACUUCGUGCCAGCCGCCGCAGUAAUAC
rnacentral:rRNA from 1 species